rnacentral:lncRNA from 1 species
AAUUAUGACUUGGAUCUUGUGCUUGUUUGAAACUGGUAUAAAAAGGGUAGCACGUAAUAAUGUCUGUGUUGACUGAUUAGUUUAAAUUGAUACAUAAAUAGUUUCUAAAGGAUAAUGCUAGUGUAAAUCAUAGAAGGACAAGAAUUGGCAGUGAAUACGACGAAUUAGGCAAGAACCUAAGUUUGGGAGAAAAGGUAGGGUAUAUAAGCUUCAGUUUAUCUAUAAAAAAAAGAAAAUUGAG